rnacentral:rRNA from 1 species
AUUGAACGCUGGCGGCAUGCCUUACACAUGCAAGUCGAACGGUAACGGGCCUUCGGGUGCCGACGAGUGGCGAACGGGUGAGUAAUGUAUCGGAACGUACCUUUCAGUGGGGGAUAACGUAGCGAAAGUUACGCUAAUACCGCAUAUUCUGUGAGCAGGAAAGCAGGGGAUCGCAAGACCUUGCGCUGAUUGAGCGGCCGAUAUCAGAUUAGCUAGUUGGUAGGGUAAAGGCUCACCAAGGCGACGAUCUGUAGCGGGUCUGAGAGGAUGAUCCGCCACACUGGAACUGAGACACGGUCCAGACUCCUACGGGAGGCAGCAGUGGGGAAUUUUGGACAAUGGGGGCAACCCUGAUCCAGCCAUGCCGCGUGAGUGAAGAAGGCCUUCGGGUUGUAAAGCUCUUUCGGCCGGGAAGAAAUCGUAUGGGUUAAUACCCUGUGCGGAUGACGGUACCGGCAUAAGAAGCACCGGCUAACUACGUGCCAGCCGCCGCUGUAACAC